AUGGCGUCCUCAGAUGUCCACGUCCGAAUAUGUGAACAAGAAAUACUCAAAUAUGACUUGGAAAUCAAAGCUCUCAUCCAGGACAUUAGCGAGUGCGCAGGCCCUCAAACCAAGCUGACCGAACUGAACGCUGAGGUGAAAAAGAGUUUCCACAAUCUCAGGUUGCGGAUUCAGGAUUUUGAGCAGAUGGCGAUGGAGCAGGACAAAGAGUCAGACAAGCAAGCUUUGAUGAGUCAGGUGGAGGGACAUAGAAAGCAGAUGCUGAGUAACCAGACAGGUUGGAGGAAAGCCAACCUGGCCAGCAAACUGUCCAUAGACAAUAUGGAGAAGCAGGCACUCCUUAAUGGAGGAGAUAGUGCUGUGAGACAGAGGAAGAUGACCAAAGAGGGGCUGGCUCAGUCAGCCAGUGACAUCACGGAGAACCUAAUGAGCAUCAGCCGGAUGAUGGCGCAGCAGGUUCAGCAGAGUGAGGAGACCAUGACGUCGCUAGCAACCUCCUCGAGGACAAUCCUAGAGACCAAUGAGGAAUUUAAGACCAUGACGGGGACCAUCCAGCUCGGGAGAAAACUCAUCACCAAGUACAACCGCAGAGAGCUCACCGACAAACUGCUGAUCUUCCUGGCGCUCGCCCUCUUCCUCGCCACAGUUCUCUACAUCCUUAAGAAGAGACUGUUCCCCUUCCUAUAGACCAGCCGAGCAAAGCUGUCAACAGAGAGGAGAAGCAGCUUUAAGUGGGAGACAGAAAAGGGAUGGAGGAGGAGGAGGAGAAGGAGGAGGAGGAGGAGGAGGAGAGAGACGGGAAGAAGGGAGUUGGAUGGAGAGAAAGAAGGAAAAGCAGGCAGAUGUUUUUGGUGAAAAUGCUCUAAUAAACCCACUGUACACUACCUGCCCUGCUCCAAAUGGCUGACAGACAAAGUCAAUAACCAGCUGAGGUGAGCACAGUGGAGCAUGUAGCAGCUUAAGAGCCAGAUAUUUCUCUCAUGAGUGAGCUGAGACCAAAGACGGAGCUAAAAGCAUCACAUUACCUGCAAUUCCUGUUCCUGGAGGCUCCAGAAUGACGAGAGAGGACAGUGCAGUGGAGAGGUGUGUGGUGGGGUAUUUGAACAGAGCUGCCCCUCAGAGCACUGUGUACGUCCCUGGCUAGCUGCUGGCCUCAGGGCAGAGAUUGGCUGAGCUGUGUGACUUUAUUGGGAAAAUUAGGGUUGUUUAUGGGUGAUUUGCUGACUGAUGUUGUGGUCCAUUUGGAGACAGAUGGUGGCUGAUGGUGCUGAUGUUUGUUUCCUGGUGAGGUCAACAGAGGUCACAGUCAGCAUCUGGCAGGAAGUUCAUCAAAACAAAGAUGGAGGCACCAGAGAAAGAAAUUAGAAAUGUGCAGUAUUUAAAUUAAACGUAUGGACUUAUUUUGGAUUUUUUAACACUGGAGGAAAGGAGGACUUGGAUAUGACACAUGAUUUGCAGCAGUGUCAUAUGAGAAUGAAAUACUUCGGGAAUACUACGAACAUGAGGGCUUACCUCAUACUCCACCAUCCAGAGAUAGCAUUAGCCGCUAACGCUAAACCAGCUCUGCUGAAAAAUCAACCAACACUGGAUUCUUAGCUCGACAAAACUACCAUCUAACUCUGAGAGAGCUAAGAAAAUAACGCAGUCCAUAACCUACUUCAUGUGCAAAGAUCUGCAUCCAUACAGUGAUGUUGAAAACAAAGACUUUUGUUACAUGCUAAAAACACUCAGUCGGUAUGUGACUCCGCCCUGACGUUUUUUCACCAACAUAGCAGUACCCAAGCUCUACAGAGAAGUUGAAGCAUACAGCUGAGGAAUCUUUGAGUACAGCAGGAAGGGUGGAAUUAACUUGUGACACCUGGACUUCAAGAAAUGUUUCAUCUACAUUCAUCUCAAGACCUGGAGCUAACUGUCCAUCUGCCGUUGGUUUCCACUGACCCCAACAGUAAUAAGAGAACUGAACAAAGAAAAGGCAACAGGAGGAGACAAAGGAAGCUGUCAGUACUAUCUGAUGUGACCCGAGAGCUCAGAUUCAGUCCACCCAGGAACCCGGGGACGAGCCAAGACACAGAGGACAGGGAGACGAGUUCAUUUCCCGCCGAACGGUGAAUGAGGUCAUCAAAUGAGGAGCCCGGGGGCCAUCCGUCCUCCUGCGAGGUCACCUCAGGGUCUGCAGCAGCCUGGAAAUACAGCACAUGUCCUUUGAAGGGCAGCGGAGAGAGGAGAGAAAGUGAGUAAGAGUGAGCCAUCCAACCCCAUAAGACUGAACUCAAUCAGCCAUGCAUCAACCACAAGCAUUGGUAACCACACUCUCAAAUGCUUAUGUCAGAUGUUAUAAAGUGCCCAUGUGGGCCUUAUGAAGGACCCCUGUGUGCCAUCUCUAAUAAAGGGCCCUUCUGUCCCCACAGCGACUCACACAGUGGUCUGGCCAGGGGCUCGAUCCUAAAAAUAA